UUUGACGAUCGUGCCAAUCAGUAGCCGUUCAAGAGCAAGUUCGACGUCGGCACAUUGGCAGUGUUGAGAAGGAAAACUUUUCUAAAUUCAGUGACUAAGUGAAUUGUGUUGUAAAAAUUUUUACUUGAAUAAAAGUGGCAGUAAAGUACCAGUUUUGUGCAAAAGUUUUAAAGUAAUAGAACCGCAACGCGUACUUAGGAGACGCCACCGUUAAGAAGCCUGCGACUAUCUACAAUGGAUUUGAAAACAACAGGACCAGCGGUGAGGUCUAGCGCAAACACACAACAUACAUAUGUACUCGCAUGUGCUCAUAUCUUCACCACACCGCCGUUGUGGCUGUAAGCAGCAGCAUCAGCAGCUUUAGAAAAAAUGCCGAAUUCCAGAAGCGACUACUAAACAAUCAAUUGGAUUACAAAAAGUACGCUUAGGCGAUAUUAUCAGCCAAGAGUGCAGCUGGAACAGAGCAACUGAUGGUUGGGACUACGACAACAACGAUGAGGUUGACUAUUGAAAUUAAGAGGGCAUACAUUGGACUGCUCCUCCACAGCGUGUCACACACAUAUUCAAACACACGUGCGCGCGGCAAGCACACACGCGGCGCGCGCGUUACCUUUGAUGCGACGCACAUAACAAAGCGAAAGGUAUACGCCGCGGUGGCUAGUGACCAGUCAAGAGUCAACGCGCAAUUGCGAUUUUUUUACCGCCUUGGACUUGAACUGCCGCUGCCUACUGUUGGCGGCUGCUGACUUCAAUCUUAUUAUACGAGUACGAUGAAAAGGAACGAAAAUUUUCAGUGGUAGGCGAACGCAAAACUGCACAAAGGUGAAUACAAUGCGGAAUGCUUUCUAAGAUUCUUGUCGUUGUUGAGUAAAUGCAUUUCGAAUAUUCGUUGUUGGCGGCAUUGCCAUCGGCUGCAACAGCAGCAAGGGCAACAACAGAGGAGGCAUCUGCUCGCUAGUUGGUAGAUGAGUCAACAACAAUAAUAAAUGCGCCUGCGUUGUGCCUGCGGGCCAAGUGGGCUGUGGCCGAAAAUUGAAGUACGCGCCUAAUCGAAAGCAGUGGCUUGGCGAUUGUGGUGGUGAUGGUGACGGCGGCGACGGCGACGGCGACGAACGCGUGCCGUUGUUCUUCAAAUGCUUUGGAUGCUGCCGCCACCACCACCACCGUUUCCACGCAAUUAAAUUUACGAAUGUUGCCAAUGUAAAAGCGCACGUGGUCACCAAAUACUUAGUGAUCAACCGCGCCCAGAAGCCGCUAAGUCGGGGAGCUUGAACAGAGUAUGUGGAGGGUUUAUGCACU